ACGGCGAGUGAAGCGGGAAGAGCUCAUGUUGUGAAUCUGGCCCUCGGGCCCGAACUGUACUUUGGAGAGGCGAGGCCAGCCGCUGUCCGCGGCCAAGUCUGAUUGGAAAUGAGCAUCAAGGAGGGUGACAAUCCCGUCCAUGCCGCGGUAUCGACCAGCGCGCGUCCGGCCCGCUUUCGACGAGUCGAGUUGCUUGGGAUUGCAGCUCAAAGAGGGUGGUAAACUCCAUCCAAAGCUAAACACGGGGGGGAGACCGAUAGCGAACAAGUACCGUGAGGGAAAGAUGCAAAGAACUUUGAAAAGAGAGUUAAAGAGUGCCUGAAAUUGCUGGAAGGGAAGCGAAGGAAAGAGGUGUGCGGUUGCCCGGGCGCCAACCCCUACCUGUCCGCAGGUGGGGGUAGGCCGCCCGGCCGCGGUCAGGGGUAGCGCCGGGCUCGGGGGAAGAGCCGUCGGGGAUCGGUAGGCGUGUCGCUUCGGCGGGACGUUGUCAGGCCCCGGUGGUUAUUGCCCUGAGCCCGGCCCCCGUCUGGCGGUCGCGGCUUUUCUUCACCCCGUC
rnacentral:rRNA from 1 species